UCGCUGUCGCCCUGCAUUUGGCGUCGCGCUGCGCAGAAGCAAGCGGGUCGCUAUAAUAGCGCUGCGGCGCAACCUGCGCCGUUUCCAGCAGCAGCUGCAGAAGCGGCAGCAGAUGGGGCGAGCAUAGGUGCAGCAUCCACGAGCCUGUCGAAACAAAGAAUACGAACACAAUUUCCCAGACCUGUUGAAGAUAAAGACAAAGAUACCCCAUAUAGCCUUUAACGGACUGUUGGGACGAGUGCAGUUCGUGAACACUUCAUGAAGGCUGGAAUGGCACACGAGGGGGAGCAGAAGACCACAGUGGUUCACUUACACCACGGCUGGGGAACGUCCGGCCCGCGAAAUCAUUUGGUGUGGCCCUACCAAGGCAACCGCAGGCGGGACUCGAAAUUCAAUAAAUCUCGGAGCAAACCUGGAAAAGCAUCUGCAAGUAGCAGCAACAUCAUCAACACCAGCCUACAUCACACGGCCUCGCCAAAGAGAAGCAGUUCCAGCCAUCACAUUAGGGAUGCUUGAACACUGCUGGAGAUUUGAAACAUACAUCACCCCUUCCGGAUCACAUCAGCAGCCUCACUCUACGCCACAAAUACAAAUGAAGGCGAGAGACGGAAGCAAGUCUGGACUGCGGCCGGCAUAACAUCUC